rnacentral:rRNA from 1 species
UACAGAGGUCCCAAGCGUUGUUCGGAUUCACUGGGCGUAAAGGGUGCGUAGGUGGCUUGGUAAGUUCGAUGUGAAAUCUCCGGGCUUAACCCGGAAAUGGUAUUGAAUACUAUUGAGCUGGAGGUUUGGAGGGGGACUGGAAUUCUCGGUGUAGCAGUGAAAUGCGUAGAUAUCGAGAGGAACACCAGUGGCGAAGGCGAGUCCCUGGACAACACCUGACACUGAGGCACGAAAGCUAGGGGAGCAAACAGG